AUUGAACGCUGGCGGCAUGCCUUACACAUGCAAGUCGAACGGCAGCACGGGGGUAACCCCUGGUGGCGAGUGGCGAACGGGUGAGUAAUAUAUCGGAACGUGUCCUGUAGCGGGGGAUAACCUAUCGAAAGAUGGACUAAUACCGCAUACGACCUACGGGUGAAAGCGGAGGACCGCAAGGCUUCGCACUAUAGGAGCGGCCGAUAUCGGAUUAGCUAGUUGGCGGGGUAACGGCCCACCAAGGCGACGAUCCGUAGCUGGUCUGAGAGGACGAUCAGCCACACUGGAACUGAGACACGGUCCAGACUCCUACGGGAGGCAGCAGUGGGGAAUUUUGGACAAUGGGCGCAAGCCUGAUCCAGCCAUGCCGCGUGAGUGAAGAAGGCCUUCGGGUUGUAAAGCUCUUUCGGCGGGGACGAAACGGUUCGUGCUAAUACCACGGACUACUGACGGUACCCGCAGAAGAAGCACCGGCUAACUACGUG
rnacentral:rRNA from 1 species